AGCGAGACCCACCUUCCUCUUCCUUUAGCAGCUGGGAAAUUGGGGGCGUUUAUGGCGCCCCGGGAAGAAGGCUCGCAGGCUGAAAGUCACCUCUGAGGCGCCCUUCUCUCUCUCUCUCUUCCCUCACACAUGCACACCUUGAGCCCCUCCCUAACGGUCGCAGCCCAGCUGCUAACCCCCCCUUGUCCACCCGUCAGCCGACUCCCGACACCCAAAGCCCCUACUUUCUCCUAAACACCUCCCCUCCCCCUCCAUUCGGAGCAGCCCCUUCAAUGCGGAAAUGUCCCUGCCGCACGGACCGACAGGCGCAGCCGCCAGUCAGGAGCCGAGGCGGACGCAGGCUCUGGCCAAUGAGACGUGCGGAGGUGGCAAGGGGCGGGGCGUUGCGGCACUUGAGAGCCGGUCGGAGUUGGGCACUGAGCAGUACGCGGGGAUGCCGCGCGUGGGAGCAGCACUUACGGCGGCGUUGCGGCCAGGGAAGCCUCGCCAGUAUAUCUCAGUGAGGGAGAGCACCUGAGCACGACUGGUUAUUUUUCCAAUCAGUAAAAAUAUUCCCGCUGACUAGGGACUAAAGAAAGCCCUGCGGAUAGAGCCGGAGCUCCCCACCGCAGCUGCCCCGAGGGAGCCCAGACGCUUCUCAGGGGACGCUUGCUCCCCUCAUCACAUCUGGCUGGGGGAGGGUGAGGAUGCGUUAGGGAGUAGGCAUUGGCCUGUGUGGGCCAGCUAACAAAAGGAGGGUUUAGGCAUUGAAGAAAGUGACAAGUGAAGGCUCCCUCACCGGAACCACCACCAUCCCCAUUGCCCCGGUUCCUAAUCCUGUAGAGAUUUCUGCUGUGAUAGGCGUUUACUUUUCUCUUCAACGUGGAACUGGCUUAAGUUACUCCUCAAGAGAUGCUUUUCUUUUGGUAGAUUUUUGAAGUCCUCAAGGAAAGAGGAUGUUACACGGAACUUGACACUAGCCUGGGGACUGUUACAGGGCCAGCCCACGGCUUGUCAAAUCACACCUGGUACCGUCAACCCCACCUGCACCUAAGACUCAGUGUGCCUGGCAGCGAGUGCAUUUCAGACUUUGCAUUUCCACUUUAAGACUCAAAUAGCCCGCACCAGGACCGAUGAAUUGCCAGCGCCUUCUCUUAAGUGCCUCCAAUAAACAAGUACAGUAAUUACAGAAGAGUUUGAGGCUUUGGGCAACACUAAUCAACCAAGACACUGUUCUAGGUUUUUGAGACAUCUGUGGACAAAACAAAGUGCCCUGCCCUCAAGGGAGCCCACAUUCUAACAGAGCAUAUUGACAUUUUUAAAAGAUAGAUGGGGUCUCACUAUGUUGUCCAGGCUGAUCUUGAACUCCUGGGCUGAAGCGAUCCUCCAACCUCGGCCUCUCAAAGUUCUGGGAUUAUAGACUUUGCCAACCCCAAUGCAUUGCACCUCUCAUUGCAUGUGAAUGAUGGCUCCUGUUCUAUUCUCUCACCUUCCAACACCAUGAAGUCCAUGCCAGCUGGUCAGUUGCUAAGAAAACUACCUAUGGUUACCAAGAAGGACCUCCAGGAAACCUCAGAUUGCCCAAGGAUCACUAUAAGAAGUAAGAGCAUCAAUUCAGGAUCCUUUUCACUUCACUUAUCUUCCUCCAAUUUUUACUCACAGCUUCCUGAGUCAUACUAAGAACAUAUUUUUUCUUCUUUAUCCCAGUUAUCUCCCUAAAAGAAACUUAAGUAGGGUGAACAUAUGGAUCAUAUAAGACAAGUAAAGAAGCCAUGGCAAACUCCAGUACUAAAGUCACUGGGCUGGGCAAGUCCUGAAGAAGUGAUAGUGGGGACCACCUCCCUUCAAAAUGUUUUUCAGUGGGAUAAAGUCAUUCACUAAAGCAGAAGUUCUCAAAGUAUGUGUGGUCCCUGGACCAGCAGCAUAAGCAUCAUUGGCGAACUUGCUAGAAAUACCAAUUCUCAGGCCCCAACAGUGUCCUGAAUUUGAGCCAUAAACUCAGGGAGUGGGGUCCAGCAAUCUGUGUUUUAAUAAGUCCUCCAGGUGACUGACUCAAGCUAAAGUUUGAAAACUUCUGUACUGAACAAAUCUUGGGAAACUUCAUGUCAUUCCAUCUUGAGCAAAGGUCUUGGGUGUAACAUCCAAGCUGGUUAUUCCAUUAUCUCAUUCCAGACCCAGAGAAGAAGGCACAGCCUCUGCUGGAUUCUUGGCUGUACACACCACUGUCUCAGGGGAUCUCUCUGUAACACAUCAACUGGUCUUCUCCUCUUAUUGCCUUUGCUUCUCAUUCCUGACACCAGAGGUUGUCUGUCAGACUUGGUUUAAGCCUCUCUGGCCAAAUACUGUAUCUGUUGCUUUAUCUGGUCUGUCUCUUUGGUUUCUGAACAAACCUUUCCCUUGGAUCCUAUAUCUGUUUCUCUUUUGCUCCAAGUCCUGCAGCCAUUGAUCAUUUCUGCUCUACUCCAGACCCCUCCCCACAAGCCCCCCUUUCUGGGAAAAGGAGUCAGAGUACCAAAUUAACUUUUUCCAUUAAAAAAGCAAAACAAGUUAAUAGGCUGGCUGAGCAGGGGAAUGAUAUUUGAUGAAUGAUGAAAUUUAAGAAGGACAAAUAUUAGGUAUUUCUAUGGAAAACAGUUAUUCAGUUCCUUAGAAAAUUAAACAGAGUUAUCUUAUGACCUAAUAAUUUUACCAUAGCUGUAUAUACCCAAGGUGUUUGAAAACAUAUUCCCACAAAAUCUUGUACACAAAUGUGUUUAUAGCAUCACUAUUCACAAUAACCAAAAGGUGGGAAAAAAUCUAAGUGACUAUCAGCUAAUGAAUGGAUAAACAAAAUGUGGCAUAUACAUACAAUGAAAUAUUAUUCAGUCAUAAAAGAAGUUCAGUUGUUACAUGUUACCACAUAAGUGAACCUUGGAAACAUGCUAAGUGAAAGAAACCAGACACAAAAGACCACAUGUUGUAUGAUUCCAUUUAAAUGAAAUGUCCAGAAUAGACAAAUAGAGACAGAAAGUAGUUUAGUAGUUACCAAGGGAUGGGGAAGGGGAGAAUAGGGACUAGCUGCUAAUAGGUAUGGGGUUUCUUUCUGGGGUGAUGGGAAUGUUCUAGAAGUAGGUAGUGAUGAUAGUUGCUCACCAUAGUCAAUAUACUAAAGUGUACAUACAAAAUGGUGAAUAUGUUAUAUGAAGUAUAUAUCUCAAUUUUUAAAUGCUAUC